GAAGACACUGUGUCUGAUUAUUCAUCAGGAGGAGAGGAGCCUGUAGCCAGCACACAUGUCCCUUUUGGAACAAAGUCCACAUCAAAAAAAGGAGAUGGUGAGAAAAAUGUGAGGGCUCUAUACAAGAGAUAUCUUCAACAGAAAAUCACAUACAGGAAACUAAAAAUAAGAAAAAUACAGCAGGACAUGGAACUUCAUGAACCGAGGACAACCAAAAUGAAGUUGCAGAUAAAAAUACUAGAAAAAC